UACCCAAUCCUGACACAGGGAGGUAGUGACAAGAAAUAACAAUACAGGGCUUAAAGUCUUGUAAUUGGAAUGAUGGGAAUCUAAACCCUUCCCAGAGUAUCAAUUGGAGGGCAAGUCUGGUGCCAGCAGCCGCGGUAAUUCCAGCUCCAAUAGCGUAUAUUAAAGUUGUUGCAGUUAAGAAGCUCGUAGUUGAAUUUCUGCCUUGUCAUUAAUCUCGCUUCCGAGCGUUUUUUUAUUGGCUUGGCAUCUUCUGGAUUUGGUGCCUUCGGGUACUAUUUUCCAGGAUUUACUUUGAGAAAACUAGAGUGUUUCAAACAGGCAUUCGCCUUGAAUACUACAGCAUGGAAUAAUGAAGUAGGACUUUGGUUCUAUUUUGUUGG
rnacentral:rRNA from 1 species